UUCAUUUUGCCUGCAAUGUUGUGUGUAGAGUUAAGUCCAUUUCUAGCACACACGUCAAAAGCCCCGUGUUUGUUAGGGGGGGGUUAACCCAUUCUCUCUUGCCCAGAGAUAGCCUCGAAUCACCCCCCUGUCCUCGGGCGCCGCUCACCGGGACCUCUGGGCAAUGAAUUGAAAGCCGGCAGCUCACUCUGCUCCGGGCUGUUGGGAGCCGGAGCUGGGAAAGCGACUUAACCUCGUUCAGCAUCGCCAAUCCUCCCCCACCCCAGCAGCAGUGACAGACACAGAGAAAGAAAGAGGAGGAGAGAAAGAGCAAGAGCAAACUAAAGCACCAGAGGAGACUGAAAGAAGAUGCUGGGGGCUGAUGAGGUUGUGCACCGUGUAUGGGGCAAGGAGGAGUGAGAGGGGAGGGGGUGAAGGCAGAGGGGAGCCACUGCUACCGUAGCAGGAGGAGGAGGAGGAGGAGGUGGAGAACCGUUUGUGGGAACGUGCAGCUCAAUGGCCGAGACUUGGUUUGUCAGAGGCGGCCGCUCUGGGCUGUCAUGUCUCAAGAAGGUGGAGGAAGGGGGUUUCUGGGCUGAGGUUCUGGUAGAGGGGGGCAAGUGGAGACCUGGCUUUACCCUGAGGCGUUAAAGUUGAGAAUUCAAGUGGAGCAAGCUCUCUCUCCCCCCCCCCCCCCCCCCCAAUAAGUUUCCCAUUCCAGAGAGAGAGAGAGAGAGAGGCUGUUUGCCUGACUUAAGUCUGAUCUUGAAGGUGAGGGGAGGGGGUAUAGAGAGAGGGGAAAAAAAAACAAACAAACUUUGUGAUAACCCACACGGUGGAGGAGAGUGCUGGCGAUGAGAUCGGAGUCUCCUCUCCCCCCGAGUGGAGCUGAGGCCGGAAAAGUGGCGGCGGAGCGCAAUGGUUACGUGAGGGGCUGUGUGAGCGCUCUGUCCCGGGAUCAGGGCUACCCAGCGUGGGCUCGCCUCCUGCCAUCCGCCGCUUGCCUGGGCUCCCUCUCCCUGCUGCUGGCCGCCUUCCUGAGGUGGGGACACGGGGAGGAGAGCCCCUCAGCUCCUCUGUCCCCCUCCUCCUCGCCCUCUCCCCCCUCCUCCUCCUCUCUCUCUCCUCCCUCCGGCUUGCUGACCCUCCUGCACUGCGUGUUGCCCCUGUUCAGCCUCCUCAGCGCUUUCUUCUGGCUCGGCUUGUACCUGAUCCGCUGCGGCCGGGGCGAGUUAGCCCCGCGGUUACUAGCCGCCUGCUGCCUGGGCGAGACACUGCUGCAAGCCGCCUCGCUGCUGGGGGGGGAGGAGGAGGGGGACCAGCUGCUGUCGGCCCCCGCCAGCGCCGUGCUCCUGGGCUGCCUGGCCGCUGCCACCCUGCUGCUGCUCCGGGUCGGCCAGGGGGUCGGCACCGUCAUCUUCACCAGCCUCCUGAGGACCGUCUCCCUGCUCUCCCUGGACGGGGUCCGCGCCAGCUGGAGACCCUUCCUCGCUUACUUCAUGGGCAUCCUCGGCGUGCUGCUGGCCAGAUACGCGGUGCACAUCCUCCCCGGAACCCCGCCUGGGACCCAGGAGAAGAUCCCAGUGAUCAAGAGGAGAAGGAGAUCUAGUUCAGUCAUCGCCGCCGAGAUUUCCAACACUCAACUGGGUUCCAAAGCCCCCAGGAGAACAUCCCUCCCGUGCAUUCAGAGGGAACAGAUCCUGUCACACUCUGAGUGGGAUCAUAAGCGUGGCUACAGAGGAUCACAGUCUACAGGGACCAGUGUCACUGUCGAUAUUGCUGUGAUGGGUGAGGCCCAUGGAUUAAUUACAGACCUUCUGGCUGAUCCGUCUCUGCCUCCCAAUGUCAGUACCUCCUUGAGGGCUGUCAGCAAUCUCCUCAGCACACAACUGACCUUCCAGCCCGUCCACAAGCCCAGAAUAAACCCAUUAGUAUCAUUCAGCGAGUCCUAUGCUGGUUCUGACUCUGAAGAAUGCCCAGGAGAGAAACUCGCAAUCCCAAAGCGACUGAGGAGAAGUCUGCCUCCAGGACUAUUGAGAAGGAUUUCAUCCACAUGGACAACAACAACGUCUGCCACCGGCCUGCCCACCAUGGAGCCUGGACCCGUCAGGAGAGACCGCAGCGGAAGCGUAAAGCCAUCUCACGAAGCCCCAUCAGGCAGUUCUUUUAAUACAGAGUCUUGGAACAGCAGUUGCUCUCCCUCAGUUUUGAUGACCAUUGCCAAAAGCAGAUCAUUCUCAGCCUCCUACGCGGUUGCCACAAAUAAUCAUGUGAAUGCUAAAAGGCAGUUGCGGCAAGGUUACUCUUCAAACAUCACACCUCUCAACUCUCCAUGCCAUUCACCGAUCCAGGGGACUCCGGCCGGUAGUCCCACGAGCAAAACCUCAGCUGUUGAAUUCCCAGACACAGCAGAUAUCCUGACUAAGCCAGGCCGUAAUCCACAUAAGCCCUUAACGUACACUCAGAGCGCACCAGAUGUCACAGGGCAAUACCGGAGUAGCUGCUUGGUGUGCAGUAGCUGUGGCCGACCCUUCAGCAAGCUGACGCACUCAGACAGCAUAGCGGAUCGAGUUGAUGCAACAGCCCAUUCACUAAACAGGACUGAGGACCCUGCACAAGCAACAUCUGACUACGACAGCACCCACGAGACAAACAAUAGUGACAGCAGUGACAUCACACAGAAUGAUGACGAGCAGGAGUCUUGUUCAAAAGGAUUGGUUCAAUCCCUCAAAAGUUCCGACUGCAGAAGCUACAGGCCCGAUAGCCUUAUGUUGCACCAUUUGAUUCCGGCUGAGGAUAAACCAAUUCUUGCCCCGGAACCUCUGCUAUUAGAAGGCCUGGAGCCAAUAUUUACACAAUUAAGCAACUGGAAUUUUCCCAUCUUUGAUCUUGUCGAGAUGACGGGCUCCAAGUGUGGCCGAAUCCUCAGCCAGGUGGCGUUCAGACUGUUUGAAGACACUGGACUUUUUGAGAUAUUUAAAAUCCCAUUAAAGGAAUUCAUGAACUACUUCCAUGCAUUAGAAAAUGGAUACAGAGACAUCCCCUAUCAUAAUCGCAUACAUGCCACUGAUGUGUUACAUGCAGUCUGGUACCUCACCACGCAGCCAGUCCCAGGCCUGCAGACUACGAUGAAUGAUCAUGGCUCAAUGAGUGAUUCAGAUUCAGACAGCGGGUUCACACAUGGACACAUGGGAUAUGCCAUAUCAAAAACGUACAGUGUGACAGAGAACAGAUAUGGCUGCGUUAUUGCCAAUGUUCCUGCCUUGGAGUUAAUGGCCCUCUAUGUUGCUGCGGCCAUGCAUGAUUAUGACCACCCAGGAAGAACCAAUGCCUUUCUGGUGGCAACCAGUGCACCACAGGCUGUUCUAUAUAAUGACCGCUCAGUAUUGGAGAACCACCACGCUGCUUCAGCGUGGAACCUUUUCAUGUCACAACAGGAUUACAACUUCUUGGUCAACUUGGACCACGUUGAAUUCAAGAGAUUCCGAUUUCUUGUGAUUGAAGCCAUACUAGCCACAGAUCUUAAGAAACAUUUCGACUUCCUCGCUGAGUUCAAUGCCAAGGUGAAUGAAGAGGUCGGACCAGGUAUUGACUGGGCAAAUGAAAACGAUCGCUUGCUGGUUUGUCAAAUGUGCAUUAAGCUCGCUGACAUCAAUGGGCCGGCCAAAUGUAAGGAGCUCCAUUUAAAAUGGACUGAAGGCAUCGUUAAUGAGUUCUACGAGCAGGGUGAUGAGGAGUCAAGCCUCGGGCUUCCCAUCAGCCCAUUUAUGGACCGUUCAGCUCCUCAGCUGGCCAAACUUCAGGAAUCCUUCAUUACACACAUUGUGGGGCCAUUGUGUAACUCCUAUAACUCAGCAGGGCUCAUACCAGGGAGAUGGGUGGAGGAUGAUGAUGAAGAUGAAGAGGAAGAGGACGAUGAUGAUGCUGAAACAACAGAGGAGGAAGGCACAGAAACGUUGGAAACAAGGCGAAUGGGAGAGGGAUGUAGGAAACGAAGAAAAGUCUUCUGCCAGAUUACGCAGCACCUGAUGGAAAACCAUGAAAUGUGGAAGAAGGUAAUUGAAGAGGAACAGAGGGAAGCAGAGCUCGAACAGCAAGACCAGUCCUCCCUGCAUCAAAGCUCAGAGACAAUCCAAGCAAUUACUGAGGAAGAGGAGGAGAAGAAUAAUGAAGAAUCAGAAGGGACGUCAGAGACGCAAAUUAGUUUGAAUCCAAAUACAACCAAUGAGACAUUAGGAGAUGAUAAAAAUGACUGAAUUGUGCAUCAAUGUUUUUUAUUCUGUUCCAGCACAAGACUUUGACACAAUACUGUAGAUGUUUAGGACAAUGUGCCUACAGCUGUGAUGGUGUAAAGUUGCUAUGAAGGAGAAGAACAGGACUAAAGAAACCUCACCAAGGAAGCUUCUGAAUUGCACCACUGGCUGAAUUAGACUUUGAACACUCAAUGGUUAUCCAGUAGGACUAUGGUGUACUUCUUCAUUGACAUAUCUUGUUUAACAACACACGCAUCUGUAAAAGGAAAACACACUGAUUUGUUGUCCGACCACAGUGGCCGUCAAAAUGAAGGAAGACGUACUUCGAAAGCAAAUACGUGGCAGAAAAUGCUGCGGUACUCAGUCUGUAGCUUUUGCUCUAUUUUGAGUGAAAGUUGAAAGCUUUAUCAGAGUUUAGGAUAUGGCCUGCCAAUAUCUUUUGUGUACAUAACCUUGUAGCUCACCAGCUUUGUAUAAGCAAUCUCUGUGUAGCUGUAGUACUUGUACAUUGCGAAAAUGGACAUGAACAAAUGUUUUAGAAACAGACUGGCAGACAUAUGGAGGGCCAUUUCACUUUAUAAAAGAGAUGAGACCUAUUUUCCCUAAUCAAUGAACACUGCCAGUUUCAGUUCACUGAGCUAACCACAGGUAUAUCUUCUAGCUUUGUUGUGUUUAGACUUCACAAUAUUAAAAUUCUUCCACCCCAAUAAAUUUAAUGCAUGUUUGGCUCCAAUGGUGUGUAACUGCUGUUCCGUUAUAAACUACUUGUUUUAAAGUUUAUUUCAAACUUAGCAAGCAAGUAAGUCAGGAAGAAGAAUGGAUUUAGAUCGAUAGAAUACUGUAGUAAGUAAGCUGCUGUUGAAUCAGUUCCAGUAUAAUAUUCCAUUUCAGUACAAACAGUAUUUCUUACAAUGAGCUCACAAGUUCCAACCUAUGUUUCCAAAAAAACUGUCGAGAAAUCUGUAUUUUUAUGCAUAGUCGAUUGACACAAGUUUUUAAGCUAAUAAAACAGCCCAAGCUAAAUUAAGUGCAUCUACCUUUUAACUGAAGGUCAGAGUAUUUGUAAGCCUGAAUCUAAUGAUUGACUAUUAUGGUUUAAUAUUGACUGUGGUUGCAGUCAGCUUACCACAGAUGCUGGGAAUAGCACUUUUAGCGUUAAUAAUGUUCAUCUUAUGUGGGUAUAUGAGUGCAUACUAAGAUGUGAAAAGACACUGGAAAGUACAGAAGAGAGUAUUUUAACUAUAGAACCU